UACGAGGGGGGCAAGCGUUGUUCGGAAUUAUUGGGCGUAAAGGGCGCGUAGGCGGUGCGGUAAGAGUGUUGUGAAAUCCUGGAGCUCAACUCCAGAACUGCCUUUGAUACUGGCGACCUUGAGUCCGGGAGAGGUGAGUGGAACUGCGAGUGUAGAGGUGAAAUUCGUAGAUAUUCGCAAGAACACCAGUGGCGAAAGCGGCUCACUGGACCAUUACUGACGCUGAUGCACGAAAGCUAGGGGAGCAAACAGG
rnacentral:rRNA from 1 species